AAAAAUGAUAGAUUAGAUCUAUUACUAAAUAUUAUUUUUGGUUCACAUGCUUGCCAUUUUAGAUUCAAAUUUUUAUGCAUAUAAAUUCAUAUCAUAUAUCUAUUUAUAAAAAUUUUAAGAUUAAAUAUUAUGCAUGUAUUUAUAGAUUAAAUAGUUUAAUCUAAUAUUUUUUCAUUGAAAAAUUUUUAAAAUACAUGCAUGAAACCCCUACACACCCCAACAGUGGUAUCAGAGCCACGGUUCGAUAUGACAUGAUAUUAUAUGCAUUUAGAUCUAUAAUUUAAUUUAGAUUAGAUCUGAUAUAUAAUAUUUAAAUUUAAAAUUAGUUAUAGAUCUGAUCGUAUAAACUGAUAUAAGGUUGUCCUGCUGUAAGAUUUAUCCCUUACAGUACAAAAGUUAUCCUAGUUUGUGUUGAUCUUUAUAAAAGUUGAUUUUAAUUUGAAGUAUGUAAUUUUUAUUAUGAUUAUUAUCUGAUUUUGAUUUGAUCAAAAUAUAAUAAUCAGAUCUAAAAUAAUUUAGAUUAGAUCUAAAUUAUUUAGAUUAGAUGAUCUGAGUAGUGAAGUAAUC
rnacentral:lncRNA from 1 species